CGCCCAGACUCCUACGGGAGGCAGCAGUGGGGGAUAUUGCACAAUGGGGGGAACCCUGAUGCAGCAACGCCGCGUGAGUGAAGAAGUAUUUCGGUAUGUAAAGCUCUAUCAGCAGGGAAGAAGAUGACGGUACCUGAUUAAGAAGCCCCGGCUAACUACGUGCCAGCAGCCGCGGUAAUACGUAGGGGGCAAGCGUUAUCCGGAUUUACUGGGUGUAAAGGGAGCGUAGACGGCGAUGCAAGCCAGAUGUGAAAGCCCGGGGCUCAACCCCGGGACUGCAUUUGGAACUGUGUGGCUGGAGUGUCGGAGAGGCAGGCGGAAUUCCUGGUGUAGCGGUGAAAUGCGUAGAUAUCAGGAGGAACACCGGUGGCGAAGGCGGCCUGCUGGACCGUGACUGACGUUGAGGCUCGAGAGCGUGGGGAGCAAACAGGAUUAGAUCCCCCGGUA
rnacentral:rRNA from 1 species